UACAGAGGGGGCAAGCGUUAUUCGGAAUUAUUGGGCGUAAAGGGCGCGUAGGCGGCUUGGCAAGUGGAAGGUGAAAUCCCUCGGCUCAACUGAGGAACUGCCUUCCAGACUGCUUUGCUUGAGUCCGGGAGAGGUGAGUGGAAUUCCCAGUGUAGCGGUGAAAUGCGUAGAUAUUGGGAGGAACACCAGUGGCGAAGGCGGCUCACUGGACCGGAACUGACGCUGAGGCGCGAAAGCGUGGGGAGCAGACAGG
rnacentral:rRNA from 1 species